GGAGUCUAGCAUGUGCGCGAGUCAUUGGGACUCUUGCUCUGCGUACGAAACCUAAAGGCGAAAUGAAAGUGAAGGCGCGCGCGCUCAGGCCGCGCGCCGAGGGAGGAUGGGCGGCUCGGCGCCCGAGGCGACGACGGCGCCGUCGCCGCCCCGCACUCCCGGGGCGUCUCGUCCUCAUCGCGAGGAGAGGCGCACCCAGAGCGUACACGCUGGGACCCGAAAGAUGGUGAACUAUGCCUGGUCAGGACGAAGUCAGGGGAAACCCUGAUGGAGGUCCGUAGCGAUUCUGACGUGCAAAUCGAUCGUCGGAACUGGGUAUAGGGGCGAAAGACUAAUCGAACCAUCUAGUAGCUGGUUCCCUCCGAAGUUUCCCUCAGGAUAGCUGGCGCUCGUCGAGCGCGAGUCUCAUCCGGUAAAGCGAAUGAUUAGAGGCAUUGGGGUCGAAACGGCCUCAACCUAUUCUCAAACUUUAAAUGGGUGAGAUCUCCGGCUUGCUUGAAGCAUGAAGCCGCGAGAUCGGAUCUAGAGUGCCAAGUGGGCCACUUUUGGUAAGCAGAACUGGCGCUGUGGGAUGAACCAAACGCGGAGUUAAAGCGCCCAAAUCGACGCUUAUGGGAUACCAUGAAAGGCGUUGGUAACUUAAGACAGCAGGACGGUGGCCAUGGAA
rnacentral:rRNA from 1 species